GGGGAAAAAUUAAUAAAAUAUAAGUAAUAAAAAAAUUUUUAAUAUUGGGGGGUAUUAAAGUAUUUUUUUAAGAAAAAAUAAAUUAUUUUAUAGUGUAUUAGUAUUGAAAAAGAAAUUUGAAAUAAAUGAAAAUAAAUUAUUAAUAAAGUAAUUUUAAUUUAGUGUAUCUUGUGUAUCAGAGUUUAUUAAAAAAUAUUUUUUUUAAAAAAAAAUCUCGAAUUUAAAAGAGUUAAUUAAUUAAUAAAGUUAAUGUAGAAAAAUUAUUUUAAAUAAUUAAUUUGAAAUGAAAUGUUAAUCGUUUUUAAAUAUAUCUAGUUAUUUUAGAAAAAAAUUUAAUUUAAAAUUUAAAAAAUUUUAUUAUUAAUUAAAUAAUUAAUAAUAAAAUAUUUAAAAUUAAAUAUAUUAAGGGAUAAGCUUUAAUAUAAAAAUUUAUAAUAAAUAUGUUUAAAUUAUAAAAAUUUUAAAAUUUAUAUUGUUUAAAAAUUAUAAUUUAUUAUAAAAAAUUUUAUAAAAAAUAAAAUUUAAUAUAAAAUUUAAUUUUAUAUAAAAUAAUAAUUAAAAAUAAUAAAAAAUUAAAAAUAAUGAUAAAAUUAGUAUAUUAUAAAUUAAAAUAAAUUUUAAUUAAUAAAAAUUAAAUUAAAGGAAUUCGGCAAAAUUUUAUAUUCACUUGUUUAUCAAAAACAUGUCUUUUAGAAAAUAAUUUAAAGUCUAAUCUGCCCACUGAUAAAUAUAUUAAAGGGCUGCAGUAUAUUGACUGUACAAAGGUAGCAUAAUCAAUAGUCUUUUAAUUGAAGACUUGAAUGAAAGAUUUGAUGAAAUAUAUUCUGUCUCUGAUUUAUAUAUAAAAUUUAAUUUUUUAGUUAAAAAGCUAAAAUGAAUUUAAAAGACGAGAAGACCCUAUAGAGUUUUAUAUUGAUAUUAUUUAAGAUUGUAUUUAUAAAUAAAAAUUAAAAAUAAUAUAAAUAUUUUAUUGGGGUGAUAAAAAAAUUAAUUUAACUUUUUUUAGUUAAUUAACAUAAAUAAGUGAAUAAAUGAUCCAUAAUUUAUGAUUAAAAGAAAAAAUUACCUUAGGGAUAACAGCGUAAUAUUUUUUUUUAGUACAAAUAAAAAAAAAAGUUUGCGACCUCGAUGUUGGAUUAAGAUAAAAUUUAAAUGCAAAAGUUUAAAGUUUUGAUCUGUUCGAUCAUUAAAAUCUUACAUGAUCUGAGUUCAAACCGGUGUGAGCCAGGUUGGUUUCUAUCUUUAAAAUUAAUAAAAUAUUUUAGUACGAAAGGAUCAAAUAUUUUUAAUAAUUAAAAUUUAUGAAUAUUAAUAAUUUAAUUAUAAA
rnacentral:rRNA from 1 species